rnacentral:SRP_RNA from 1 species
GUUGGGCACAGUGGUAUGUGCCUGUAGUCCCAGUUACCCAGGAGGCUGAGGAAGGAGGAUCGCUUGAGCCCAGGAGUUCUGGCUCGUAGAGCACUAUGCCCAUGGGGUGUCCGCACUAAGGUCGGCAUCAGUAUGAUGACCUCCUGGGAGUGGGGGACCACCAGGUUGCCCAAGGAGGGGUGAACCAGCCCAGGUCAGAAACAGAGCAGGUCAAAACUCCUGUGCUGAUCAGUAAUGGGAUGGUGCCUGUGAACAGCCACUGCACUCCAACCAGGGGAACAUGGCAAGACCCCAUCUCUA